GUGAUCUUGGAAUGUAAGAAAAUAUGUUGAUAUUUAGAUAACCUGUUGGAAAGUUCUGAAUAUCGGCCAUUCUGGAUAAGUUGGAGAGACGGCAUUAUUGAGGUCGGUCGUGGAUUGAACGUUCAUAACACUAUUAGUAGAUUUAUAGUCUGGCCUGAUCCAGAGCCAUUACAUAUUACUGGACUUAUCCUAAAUAGUAACAAAGAAGGCAGUUGUAUUAUUCAUUAUCCUACAGGAAACACCGUGAAAUACACAAAAGCCUUCGGAAAACGAGGUGCACCUGUCCUGCUAAGUAAUAUUGUCGGGCACUAUGUUGUUGAAUGCGCUUUAAGAUGCCACCUUGAACCUGAAUGUAUCAAUUUCAACUUUAAAGAGCCCAGCAAGAUGUGCGAAUUGUUACAAGCUCGUGUAUCUGAAGCAACAGACGAUUCAGUUUAUGAUUUCUACUCCCAAUGUUAGUUUAAAUGUGUACCGUACAUAUAUAUGUAAUUCUUUGUUUUAUGUAUGUAUUUUGCUUCGAUUCAACUCAGAAACUCGGUACCAUUCGGAAGACAAAACAUUUUCUUAUACAUAAUUCUGUCACUAUAUUAAAGAUUUAUUGUA